ensembl:lncRNA
UGCUAUUUGAAAUAGAACAUCCACAGGGAGAUAAUGGGCUGAAAUUACAAUUGACUUUGGAAAGAAUAACAGAUUUUGUGCUUCCUCAAUCAUAUAAUCAAUAGGGAAUUCUCUAGUUAUGUGAACUACCACUAUCUUUUAAGACAAUGCUGAGAUCUAAAUGCAAAAUCUGUCAUUCAGGAGCCUUUUAAGAAUUCAAGGCUGUCUCUGAGGAACUUAGCUAGAGAUGGAUUACACUAAUUUACAAAUGCAGUUUUCAACCGUGACAAAUCAAAGUGAUCUGAUCUCAGUUCAUUUUACUAAGCUGUGCCCAUAGGACUCUGAGAUAUUGAGCUAUUUUGUCUACAUUAUUUUUUAACAUCUACAGGUAUUUGUGGAUGUGUCAAUAAUGUCUGAAUUUCUCAUCUUUUGGCUUUAUCUUGAACACAGCUUUUUAGUAAGACCAGCUUUCAGAGCAUCAUGAAGUAGAAAUCAAUGCUCCAGAGAUUCAGGGAGACCAACAUAAGGGAAAAUCUCCCAAAACAUGGAGGUAGUCUUGCCCAUCUCAUCCCUCUCUAGAAUAUAAAAUGUCUGAGAAAGGGCUGUGACUGCCUUGUGGACUGCUGUCUCCUAGCAUCUGGAAAAAUGCCCAGCACAAUAGAGGCACUCAGUUAAUAUUUAUUGAAUGAAUAAACAAUUACAUAAAUGAAUGAAAUUAAAUAAAUGAGUUUUACCUUCUGAUAAUUUGAAAAAAAAAUCACCAAUUCAUUUUAUACUGAUGGGCAUUAUAAUUUCUGAAUUACAUAAUUAGAACCAGAAUUGACUCUUCAUACUUUUUAGAUAUAUGAAUUUGAAAUCAGUUACUUCCAAGGGUUCAAGGGUUUGAGAACACUUAGAUAGGCAUGUUUGCAUAUUCAGAGUGUUUACAAUGAAUAAAACUCAGCCUUUCUUGUUAUUUUUGAAAGCUCCCUGAGUUAUGAUCCAUACAUGGAACCCCAUUUAUAAACUUUGUAAAAUAUAAUAUUUUAAUUUUUAAAAAAGAAAAUUUAAAUUAUCAAGCGUAUUAUUAAUAAUAUGUCCUUCAAUGUUCAUUAACAACUUUUCUCUAAGGCAAUUCAUUGUGAUUAGAGACACCAUCUCUAAAUCUCCUGCUUUCAAAAAAAUCACUUUUCCUUUCUCAUUUGAUCUUUAGAAUAUAUCUGAGCUAAAGAUUAAUCAUAUAGCAAUUAAGACUUUUCCAUGUGUUUAUUCAUCUAACAAACAUUUAUUGUGUGCCUACUAUAUGCUAGGUUUUGGAUGUAAAAUGGCAAACAAGACAAAUCUAGCCACCCCUUGGAGUUUGCUGUGAGGAACUCAACACUUGCUCUAGCAGUUAACUAGAGUUUACCAUCUCAUGGUUCCUUCUUCACAGCUGAUAGGAGAAAUGAAAUCCCUUAUGCCAUGGAAAUCAUAAAAGGCUCUCUGCACAUAUUUAUGUAAGCUUGUUUUUCUAAAAUACCACACAAAUAUGCUGCUCAAGGAAUCCAAAACCAUAGUUAGAUGCCACUGAGGUAGGUACUAAUUUACUCAUAACUGACACAUAGCUCUUACUAAGUUCUGUGCUCAGGACACUCAUAGACUCUAUCACUGAAUCCCUUCAACAACUCUCUUUAGUAGGUUCUAUUUUAUCGACAAGAAAACUGAAGCACAGGUUUGUGACCUGUCCAAGGUCACACAGCAGAUGGAACUGGGAUUUGAACCCACACAGUGUAACACGAGAGCUCAUAUGUCUUCGCAUUUUCUGUGGCUUGGGGGAUACCAUUACAUUAAAAUAAAUGUGUCACUGUAUAUAAAAAGUACUUUGAAAUUGUAGUAUACAAAGAGAUUAGUGAAGUGUGAUCAGCAAACCACAGCAGUGGCAGAAACAGAGUGGGAACUCAAUCUUAUGUUGCAGCUUACUCUCAUGAAGAAUAUAUCAAGCCAGGGAAAUGGAUAAACAUACAGAUUCAGACAGUUUCUGACAUGCGAUAAAUAUUGCAAUGACUUUUCAGAAUUAUUUGUUGUUAGCCACUGUGUCUAUUUGGUGCUACAAAAAAACCUGAAAGAAACAAAAUCCCUUGCUAUAAGGGCUUAUCAUAAUUACACAGUGUGGAGAUGAGUCAAGGAUGUUUCAGAUUUAUGGGGAAAGAUUGGGCGAUAGUAAUACUAUUUUCUCACCAUUGCAUGUGAUUGUGUCUUUCUAAUUGUUUUCAUUAUUUUUCUGAAAGAGCUGCAAAAUUGUGCAGUGGUUCAACCUGAC